ACGGCUCAGUAACACGUGGAUAACCUGCCCUUGGGUCCGGCAUAACUCCGGGAAACUGGAGAUAAUUCCGGAUAACGCAUAUAUGCUGGAAUGCUUUAUGCGUAAAAUGGAUUCGUCUGCCCAAGGAUGGGUCUGCGGCCUAUCAGGUAGUAGUGGGUGUAAUGUACCUACUAGCCUGCGACGGGUACGGGUUGUGAGAGCAAGAGCCCGGAGAUGGAUUCUGAGACAUGAAUCCAGGCCCUACGGGGCGCAGCAGGCGCGAAAACUUUACAAUGCGGGAAACCGUGAUAAGGGGACACCGAGUGCCAGCGUCAUACGCUGGCUGUCCAGGUGUGUAAAAUACACCUGAUAGCAAGGGCCGGGCAAGACCGGUGCCAGCCGCCGCGGUAACACCGGCGGCCCGAGUGGUAAUCGUGAUUAUUGGGUCUAAAGGGUCCGUAGCCGGUUUGGUCAGUCCUCCGGGAAAUCUGACAGCUCAACUGUUAGGCUUUCGGCGGAUACUGCCAGACUUGGAACCGGGAGAGGUAAGAGGUACUACAGGGGUAGGAGUGAAAUCUUGUAAUCCCUGUGGGACCACCUGUGGCGAAGGCGUCUUACCAGAACGGGUUCGACGGUGAGGGACGAAAGCUGGGGGCACGAACCGGAUUAGAUACCCGGGUAGUCCCAGCCGUAAACGAUGCUCGCUAGGUGUCAGGCAUGGCGCGACCGUGUCUGGUGCCGCAGGGAAGCCGUGAAGCGAGCCACCUGGGAAGUACGGCCGCAAGGCUGAAACUUAAAGGAAUUGGCGGGGGAGCAC
rnacentral:rRNA from 1 species